GUAAUAAGUACAGUGUUGUACAAAUACUUCUUGUAGCCAUUGUAUAUCGAAUAUAUCUUCUCCUUCGAUCCCCAAUCGGUUAUUAUCGAUUCCUUCAGAAUGCGCAAUUUAUACCACGAUAAAAAUCGACAGUCAGAAAAGCGGAGUUACGUCGGCACCGGUCGAGGAAGAAUUAAAUUGAUGAUUUCGCAUGUGAAUCGUAAUCUGGAUGAAAUGGAAGGAACCCGUGAAAAAUGCGAUCGUGUGUACUGUAACGCGGGGCCUAAAAUUUCUCGACGCAACGCGAACAGAAUUUUUGUACCUCGUCGUAAAUGAGGCCAAAUCAGACGGGUCCAGGCGGCGCGGUGGCUGUUGAACCCGUCCCAACAGCGGCUACUUGGCAGCCAACCAGCCUGCUGGCCAAAACGACCAUUUCAAAAAUCCAGAUCACGUGGACGAUUGGACGUGUACAAAUAAUCACGGGACGGGACGAAUCGCGAGACCACGAUCGUCUGGAAAUUAAUGC
rnacentral:misc_RNA from 1 species